rnacentral:rRNA from 1 species
GAUGAACGCUAGCUACAGGCUUAACACAUGCAAGUCGAGGGGCAGCACAGUGUAGCAAUACACGGGUGGCGACCGGCGCACGGGUGCGUAACACGUAUCCAAUCUGCCCGUUACUCGGGGAUAGCCUUCUGAAAGGAAGAUUAAUACCCGAUAGCAUUCAUUUGCGGCAUCGCUUAUGAAUUAAAGAUUUAUCGGUAACGGAUGAGGAUGCGUACGAUUAGCUUGUUGGCGGGGUAACGGCCCACCAAGGCUACGAUCGUUAGGGGUUCUGAGAGGAAGGUCCCCCACACUGGAACUGAGACACGGUCCAGACUCCUACGGGAGGCAGCAGUGAGGAAUAUGGGUCAAUGGUCGAGAGACUGAACCAGCCAAGUAGCGCGAAGGAUGACUGCCCUAUGGGUUGUAAACUUCUUUUGUUUGGGAAUAAAGUCAGGUACGUGUACCUGUUUGUAUGUACCAUUCGAAUAAGCAUCGGCUAAUUCCGUGCCAGCAGCCGCAGUAAAAC